GGAGUUAUGAAAUGCCGGUGGGGGAAAUCCUGUCGGUUUGACAAAGGCCUAGGAGGAAGCCACGGCUAACUUCGUGCCAGCAGCCGCGGUAAUACGAAGGUGGCAAGCGUUGUUCGGAAUCACUGGGCAUAAAGGGCGUGUAGGCGGUCUGGUAAGUCGGUAGUGAAAGCCCCCGGCUCAACCGGGGAAGUGCUACCGAUACUGUCAGACUCGAGUGCAGGAGGGGAGAGUG
rnacentral:rRNA from 1 species